UGGGGAAUAUUGCACAAUGGGCGAAAGCCUGAUGCAGCGACGCCGCGUGAGGGAUGACGGCCUUCGGGUUGUAAACCUCUUUCAGUAGGGACGAAGCGCAAGUGACGGUACCUGCAGAAGAAGCACCGGCUAACUACGUGCCAGCAGCCGCGGUAAUACGUAGGGUGCGAGCGUUGUCCGGAAUUACUGGGCGUAAAGAGCUCGUAGGCGGUUUGUCACGUCGUCUGUGAAAUCCUAGGGCUUAACCCUGGACGUGCAGGCGAUACGGGCUGACUUGAGUACUACAGGGGAGACUGGAAUUUCUGGUGUAGCGGUGGAAUGCACAGAUAUCAGGAAGAACACCGAUGGCGAAGGCAGGUCUCUGGGUAGUAACUGACGCUGAGGAGCGAAAGAAUGGGUAGCGAACAGG
rnacentral:rRNA from 1 species